rnacentral:rRNA from 1 species
AACGAACGCUGGCGGCAGGCCUAACACAUGCAAGUCGAACGCCGUAGCAAUACGGAGUGGCAGACGGGUGAGUAACGCGUGGGAACCUACCUUACGGUCGGGAAUAGCUCAGGGAAACUUGGGGUAAUACCGGAUACGCCCUUACGGGGAAAGAUUUAUCGCCGUUAGAUGGGCCCGCGUAGGAUUAGCUAGUUGGUGAGGUAAUGGCUCACCAAGGCGACGAUCCUUAGCUGGUCUGAGAGGAUGAUCAGCCACACUGGGACUGAGACACGGCCCAGACUCCUACGGGAGGCAGCAGUGGGGAAUAUUGGACAAUGGGCGCAAGCCUGAUCCAGCCAUGCCGCGUGAGUGACGAAGGCCUUAGGGUUGUAAAGCUCUUUUGGCGGGGAAGAUAGUGACGGUACCCGCAGAAUAAGCUCCGGCUAACUUCGUGCCAGCCGCCGCCGUAAGAC